GGUGGGGUCGCAUAGUGGUCGAGUGCACCAGUCUUGAAAACUGGAACGGGUGAAAGCCCGUCGAGGGUUCGAAUCCCUCCCCCACCG
rnacentral:tRNA from 1 species